rnacentral:rRNA from 1 species
GAUGAACGCUGGCGGCGUGCCUAACACAUGCAAGUCGAACGAAACUGCUUUAUUACCGUGUGCUUGCAGUCUCCGAUAAAGGGUUGAGUGACGAACGGAUGAGUAACUCGUGUUUAACCUGCCCUAACGAGGGGGAUGACACUAGCAAACAGGUGCUAAUACCGCAUAACCAUCGUUACCGCAUGGUAACUUUGUAAAAUGGGGCUACCCUACCUCAUUUGGUUGGUUGGGCGGCGCAUUAGCUAGCUGGUAGGGUAAAGGCUUACCAAGGCAAUGACGCGUAGACGAAGUGAGAGGUUGAUAGGCCACAUUGGAACGUGGACACGGACCAGACUCCUAAGGGAGGCAGCAGUCGGGAAUGUUCGACAAUGGGCGGAAGCCUGAUACAGCGAGGCCGAGUGGGUGAAGAAGGCCUUCGGUUCGUAAAGCCCUGUUGUUGGGGAAGAAAGUCAGUGGGAGUAAACGAAGCCGUUGUGACGGUAUCGAACCAAGAAGCAACGGCUAACUACGUG